UACAGAGGGUGCGAGCGUUAAUCGGAAUUACUGGGCGUAAAGCGCGCGUAGGCGGCUUUGCAAGUCGGGUGUGAAAUCCCCAGGCUUAACCUGGGAACUGCAUUCGAGACUGCAUUGCUAGAGUAUGGGAGAGGGAAGUGGAAUUUCCGGUGUAGCGGUGAAAUGCGUAGAUAUCGGAAGGAACAUCAGUGGCGAAAGCGACUUCCUGGACCGGUUCUGACACUGAGGAGCGAAAGCGUGGGGAGCGAUCCGG
rnacentral:rRNA from 1 species